rnacentral:rRNA from 1 species
CUGAUAAUUUAUUGAAGGGCUGCAGUAUUUUGACUGUACAAAGGUAGCAUAAUCAGUAGUCUUUUAAUUGAUGACUUGUAUGAAGGAUUGGAUGAAAUAUAUACUGUCUCUAAUUUAUAUUAAGAAUUUAAUUUUUUAAUUAAAAAGUUAAAAUAAAUUUAAAAGACGAGAAGACCCUAUAGAGUUUUAUAUUUAAAUUAAUUGCAAUUAUUUAUUAGUUUAUUAAUUAAAAUUAAUUUAAUAUAUUUUGUUGGGGUGAUAGAAAAAUAAAAUUAACUUUUUUUAUUAUAGGUUCAUAAAUAAAUGAAUAUUUGAUCCAAAAAUUUUGAUUAAAAGAUAAAAUUACCUUAGGGAUAACAGCGUAAUUUUUUUUUUUAGUUCAAAUAAAAAAAAGAGUUUGCGACCUCGAUGUUGGAUUAAGAUAUAAUUUAUAUGCAAAAGUAUAAAAUUUUGAUC